rnacentral:rRNA from 1 species
CAAAAACAUUGUCAUAGGAUAGUAUAUCUAUGGUAUCUCCUGCCCAGUGAAAUAUUUCAACGGCCGCGGUAUCCUAACCGUGCAAAGGUAGCAUAAUCACUUGCCUAUUAAUUGUAGGCUAGAAUGAACGGAUGAACGAAGUAAAAACUGUCUCUUUUAUUUUAUUAAAAACUAAUAUCUAAAUGAAGAAGUUUAGAUAGUAAUAUAGGACAAGAAGACCCUGUAGAGCUUUAUUUAAAUUUAGCAAAACUAAAAUAUAAUUCGGUUGGGGCGACUAAGGAAUUUAUAUAUCAUCCUAAUACUGAAGAUUUAUAAAUCACAUUAAGGAUCCUUGAAAAAGAUCAAAAGAACUAGCUACCUCAGGGAUAACAGGCUAAUUUUUCUUUAGAGCUCUUAUCAAAAGAAAAGGUUGGCACCUCGAUGUUGGCUUAGGGAAUCUAAAUAACGCAAAAGUUAUAAAAGAAGGUUUGUUCAACCUAUAAAUCCCUACGUGAUCUG